AUUUCAUUAUAGUCACGAUAUUAUUGAAAUAACGUAGGUAAUUAUGGCAUUUUCGUUUCACGAAUUCUAGUAAGUACGUAAUGUGAUAUACUUUUAAUGGAUUUAUUUUAUCUUUUAUAAGCGUACGCCGUUUUCAAGUGGCCAGUUUGUUUUCCAUUUUCAAAAUGAAAAUCAAAAGCAUCCUAAGUAUAUGGAUAUUCCCAAUAGUCUUGUCAGUAGCAUCAGCUGCGGCCAUUUUCUUUGGUGGUGAUGAUACCGAGGGCGCUGGUUUUGGCAAGUUUUACUACAAUUUAUUUAUUAAAAGAAUGUUUAUUUAUACAUUACAAGAGCAGCAUUUAAUCGUUUAUUAAUAUAAAAUUUCAGGUAUACCUGGCCUGAGCUUUGCGACGGGUGCAUUGAAUGGUGCCAUGGACAUAGCAGGUCAAAUGAUGAAUACUGGCACUGGCCUGGCGUCUAAAGUUUUCACCAUGGCGACCAGUGUGGUUUAGUCAUACAAGUUCUCCAAACAUCAGAAGGAGCCGCUGUUCCAGUUGCGCAAUAUUUAUGAAGAAAUCUUGCAUAAAUGUAAUAAAAAUAAAUAUUGUAAAACUAUAUAUAUCUGGUACAAAUAUAUAUUUCCACUUAGCAAUUUAGAAUUUCAAAUUAAUCACAUCUUAUUUAUUAAAUGUUCCUCACGUACCA
rnacentral:lncRNA from 1 species